GCUUCAUAGACGCCGCGUGUACCCGGUUGUCCUCAGGCGCUGUCAGGAGAUUUUGGACUCUCUGCAGACUGUCCCUGGAUCUUGGGUUAAAAAUCUGUAUUCUAGACUGAACCGUGGGAAGAAAAAAUAGUCAAUCUGUGGUUUUUCUACUUGAAGGACACAAUGUUUUCCAAACUAGCACAUUUGCAGAGGUUUGCUGUACUUAGUCGCGGAGUUCAUUCUUCAGUGGCUUCUGCUACAUCUGUUGCAACUAAAAAAACAGUCCAAGGCCCUCCAACCUCUGAUGACAUUUUUGAAAGGGAAUAUAAGUAUGGUGCACACAACUACCAUCCUUUACCUGUAGCCCUGGAGAGAGGAAAAGGUAUUUACUUAUGGGAUGUAGAAGGCAGAAAAUAUUUUGACUUCCUGAGUUCUUACAGUGCUGUCAACCAAGGGCAUUGUCACCCCAAGAUUGUGAAUGCUCUGAAGAGUCAAGUGGACAAAUUGACCUUAACAUCUAGAGCUU
rnacentral:lncRNA from 1 species